rnacentral:misc_RNA from 1 species
GCUGCCUUUCGGGGCGGCUCCCCUUAAAUGCAUCGGUUGUGGCCCGUUCGGCUUUCAGUCCUCGGCGUUGUAUUGCCCUCGCCUUGCGUCUUGUCGGCAGCGCCCUUCCCCGACCGCCUCUGGAGCGGCGGUCAGCAACGGAGGCUUUCGGGCCUUUGAAAUCUGACCUCAAAUCAGGUAGGACUACCCGCUGAACUUAA